rnacentral:lncRNA from 1 species
UAUCCCAAUUCACGUAUAUAGAUACCAUACUGAAAUGAUUAAGCAUGGAGAAUUUUAAGGAAGGCUAUCUCCCGAUAGGCCAUGGAAUUACUCUCUAAGAAGGAUUAUCUGAUAACUCCAUAAGAGAGAGAGUGUAUGAGUGAAAUUCUAUAUGCUUUGGUAGUGGGAUCUAUCAUGUAUGUCAUGACAUGUAUGAGGUCGGAUAUGGCAUACUCACUAG